GACGAACGCUGGCGGCGUGCCUAAUACAUGCAAGUAGAACGCUGAAGGAGGAGCUUGCUCUUCUGGAUGAGUUGCGAACGGGUGAGUAACGCGUAGGUAACCUGCCUGGUAGCGGGGGAUAACUAUUGGAAACGAUAGCUAAUACCGCAUAACAGUAGAUGUUGCAUGACAUUUACUUAAAAGGUGCAAUUGCAUCACUACCAGAUGGACCUGCGUUGUAUUAGCUAGUUGGUGGGGUAACGGCUCACCAAGGCGACGAUACAUAGCCGACCUGAGAGGGUGAUAGGCCACACUGGGACUGAGACACGGCCCAGACUCCUACGGGAGGCAGCAGUAGGGAAUCUUCGGCAAUGGACGGAAGUCUGACCGAGAAACGCCGCGUGAGUGAAGAAGGUUUUCGGAUCGUAAAGCUCUGUUGUAAGAGAAGAACGAGUGUGAGAGUGGAAAGUUCACACUGUGACGGUAUCUUACCAGAAAGGGACGGCUAACUACGUG
rnacentral:rRNA from 1 species